rnacentral:rRNA from 1 species
AACGAACGCUGGCGGCGUGCCUAACACAUGCAAGUCGAGCGAGAAAGCCCGCAAGGGUGAGUACAGCGGCGCACGGGUGCGUAACACGUGGGUAAUCUGCCCUGGAGUCCGGAAUAACCCGCCGAAAGGCGUGCUAAUGCCGGAUAAGACCACGGGAACUUCGGUUCCUGCGGGAAAAGGUGGCCUCUGUAUACAAGCUAUCUCUUCAGGAUGAGCCCGCGGCCCAUCAGCUAGUUGGCGGGGUAAUGGCCCACCAAGGCUACGACGGGUAGCUGGUCUAAGAGGACGAUCAGCCACACUGGAACUGAGACACGGUCCAGACUCCUACGGGAGGCAGCAGUGGGGAAUCUUGCGCAAUGGGCGAAAGCCUGACGCAGCAACGCCGCGUGUGUGAUGAAGGUCUUCGGAUCGUAAAGCACUGUCGCGAGGGACGAAUAAGGUGUCGGCUAACAUCCGGCGCUGAUGACGGUACCUCGAGAGGAAGCACCGGCUAACUCUGUGCCAGCAGCCGCGGUAAAAC